CCAGGGGUUGUGCAGAUAACACUGGUAAGAGUAGUGACAGCUCCUGGGUGCAGGGUGAUAGGAAUGCUGUGAGGCUGGCAGACUUCUGAGAAAGAGCCUAUCUGCUGAGCACCCAGAUGUGCCAGGCUGCAACCCAUGGAUGGCAAAACUUCAUAGUUCCACAGUUUUUGGGAGAUGUGGAACAUCCUGCAAAUACUUGCAUAAACGUCUGAUUCCCAGGACACACGCAAGCAGGCGCCUGGAUGGGUGUAUGGGAGGGAAGGGGAAGCAGCCUGACAGUGAGUGUUUUGAGAGCAAGAAUAAAUAGGUGCUGUUGCAUCUGUGACAUUGUUUUGGUUUUUAAUCCA
rnacentral:lncRNA from 1 species